GACGAACGCUGGCGGCGUGCUUAACACAUGCAAGUCGAACGGUAAGGCUCCAGCUUGCUGGGGUACACGAGUGGCGAACGGGUGAGUAACACGUGGGUGACCUGCCCUGCACUUCGGGAUAAGCCUGGGAAACUGGGUCUAAUACCGGAUAGGACCGCACCGUGAGGGUGUGGUGGAAAGUUUUUUCGGUGUGGGAUGGGCCCGCGGCCUAUCAGCUUGUUGGUGGGGUAAUGGCCUACCAAGGCGGCGACGGGUAGCCGGCCUGAGAGGGUGGACGGCCACAUUGGGACUGAGACACGGCCCAGACUCCUACGGGAGGCAGCAGUGGGGAAUAUUGCACAAUGGGCGGAAGCCUGAUGCAGCGACGCCGCGUGGGGGAUGACGGCCUUCGGGUUGUAAACUCCUUUCACCAUCGACGAAGGGUUUCUGACGGUAGAUGGAGAAGAAGCACCGGCUAACUACGUGCCAGCAGCCGCGGUAAUACGUAGGGUGCGAGCGUUGUCCGGAAUUACUGGGCGUAAAGAGCUCGUAGGUGGUUUGUCGCGUCGUCUGUGAAAUUCCGGGGCUUAACUCCGGGCGUGCAGGCGAUACGGGCAUAACUUGAGUACUGUAGAGGAGACUGGAAUUCCUGGUGUAGCGGUGAAAUGCGCAGAUAUCAGGAGGAACACCGGUGGCGAAGGCGGGUCUCUGGGCAGUAACUGACGCUGAGGAGCGAAAGCAUGGGGAGCGAACAGGAUUAGAUACCCUGGUAGUCCAUGCCGUAAACGGUGGGCGCUAGGUGUGGGUUUCCUUCCACGGGAUCCGUGCCGUAGCUAACGCAUUAAGCGCCCCGCCUGGGGAGUACGGCCGCAAGGCUAAAACUCAAAGGAAUUGACGGGGGCCCGCACAAGCGGCGGAGCAUGUGGAUUAAUUCGAUGCAACGCGAAGAACCUUACCUGGGCUUGACAUAUACAGGAUCGCGCCAGAGAUGGUGUUUCCCUUGUGGCUUGUAUACAGGUGGUGCAUGGUUGUCGUCAGCUCGUGUCGUGAGAUGUUGGGUUAAGUCCCGCAACGAGCGCAACCCUUGUCUUAUGUUGCCAGCACGUUGUGGUGGGGACUCGUAAGAAACUGCCGGGGUUAACUCGGAGGAAGGUGGGGAUGACGUCAAAUCAUCAUGCCCCUUAUGUCCAGGGCUUCACACAUGCUACAAUGGUCGGUACAGUGGGUUGCCAGUCCGUGAGGGCGAGCUAAUCCCGCAAAGCCGGUCUCAGUUCGGAUCGGGGUCUGCAACUCGACCCCGUGAAGUCGGAGUCGCUGGUAAUCGCAGAUCAGCAACGCUGCGGUGAAUACGUUCCCGGGCCU
rnacentral:rRNA from 1 species